GUGCCAGCAGCCGCGGUAAUACGUAGGUGGCGAGCGUUAUCCGGAAUGAUUGGGCGUAAAGGGUGCGCAGGCGGUCUGUUAAGUCUGAAGGCAAAGGGAUGAGCUCAACUCAUUUAUGAUUCAGAAACUGGCAGACUUGAGGACAGGAGAGGGCGGUGGAACUCCAUGUGUAGCGGUAAAAUGCGCAGAGAUAUGGAAGAACACCAGUGGCGAAGGCGGCCGCCUGGCCUGUGACUGACGCUGAGGCACGAAAGCGUGGGGAGCAAAUAGGAUUAGAUACCCUAGUAGUCCACGCCGUAAACGAUGAGGAGCAGGUGUUGGGAGUGAAAUCUCAGUGCCGAAGCCAACGCAGUGACUCCUCCGCCUGGGGAGUAUGCACGCAAGUGUGAA
rnacentral:rRNA from 1 species